rnacentral:misc_RNA from 1 species
UUGAUUUAUUUGUUUUUUUACUCAGAAGUUCCACUAAAAACAGAGUUUAGGGUCCUGCGGCGGGCCGUCCCGAAGGACGGGCUGAUCCGCCGAGGCAACAUAUGGUAUGUUCACAGGGGUUUGGGAGUUGUAAACUCGGUAAUGAUCCCUCCGCUGGUUCACCAACGGAGA